rnacentral:misc_RNA from 1 species
GAUGAAGAACGCAGCAAAAUGCGAUACGUAAUGUGAAUUGCAGAAUUCAGUGAAUCAUCGAGUCUUUGAACGCACAUUGCGCCCUCUGGUAUUCCGGAGGGCAUGCCUGUCCGAGCGUCAUUGCUGCCCUCAAGCACGGCUUGUGUGUUGGGCCCCGCCCCCCGAUCCCGGGGGGCGGGCCCGAAAGGCAGCGGCGGCACCGCGUCCGGUCCUCGAGCGUAUGGGGCUUUGUCACCCGCUCUGUAGGCCCGGCCGGCGCUUGCCGAUCAACCAAACUUUUUUCCAGGUUGACCUCGGAUCAGGUAGGGAUACCCGCUGAACUUAAGCAUAUCAAUAAGCGGAGGA